rnacentral:rRNA from 1 species
UACUCCUACGGGAGGCAGCAGUAGGGAAUAUUGGUCAAUGGGUGGAAGCCUGAACCAGCCAUGCCGCGUGCAGGAAGACGGCCUUCUGGGUUGUAAACUGCUUUUAUCUGGGGAUAAAAUACCCUUGUGAGGGAGACUGAAGGUACCAGAUGAAUAAGCCACGGCUAACUACGUGCCAGCAGCCGCGGUAAU